rnacentral:rRNA from 1 species
GGGAAUUUUGGGCAAUGGGCGCAAGCCUGACCCAGCAACGCCGCGUGAGGGAUGAAGGCCUUCGGGUCGUAAACCUCUGUCGGGAGGGGAGAACGGUCGCGAUUCGAACAGGAUCGCGGCCUGACGGUACCUCCAAAGGAAGCACCGGCUAACUCCGUGCCAGCAGCCGCGGUAAUACGGAGGGUGCAAGCGUUGUUCGGAAUCAUUGGGCGUAAAGCGCGUGUAGGCGGCUUGGCAAGUCGGUUGUGAAAUCCCGGGGCCCAACCCCGGAACUGCAUUCGAAACUGCCUCGCUAGAGUCCCGGAGAGGAAGGCGGAAUUCCCGGUGUAGAGGUGAAAUUCGUAGAUAUCGGGAGGAACACCAGCGGCGAAGGCGGCCUUCUGGACGGUGACUGACGCUGAGACGCGAAAGCGUAGGGAGCAAA